rnacentral:rRNA from 1 species
AGUGAACGCUGGCGGUAGGCCUAACACAUGCAAGUCGAACGGCAGCACAGUAAGAGCUUGCUCUUACGGGUGGCGAGUGGCGGACGGGUGAGGAAUACAUCGGAAUCUACUUUUUCGUGGGGGAUAACGUAGGGAAACUUACGCUAAUACCGUAUACGACCUACGGGUGAAAGCAGGGGAUCUUCGGACCUUGCGCGAUUGAAUGAGCCGAUGUCGGAUUAGCUAGUUGGCGGGGUAAAGGCCCACCAAGGCGACGAUCCGUAGCUGGUCUGAGAGGAUGAUCAGCCACACUGGAACUGAGACACGGUCCAGACUCCUACGGGAGGCAGCAGUGGGGAAUAUUGGACAAUGGGCGCAAGCCUGAUCCAGCCAUACCGCGUGGGUGAAGAAGGCCUUCGGGUUGUAAAGCCCUCUUGUUGGGAAAGAAAAGCAGCAGGUUAAUACCCCGCUGUUCUGACGGUACCCAAAGAAUAAGCACCGGCUAACUUCGUG